rnacentral:rRNA from 1 species
AACCAGUACCGUGAGGGAAAGGUGAAAAGCACCCCGGAAGGGGAGUGAAAUAGAACCUGAAACCGUGUGCUUACAAGUAGUCAGAGCCCGUUAAUGGGUGAUGGCGUGCCUUUUGUAGAAUGAACCGGCGAGUUACGAUUUGAUGCAAGGUUAAGCAGUAAAUGUGGAGCCGUAGCGAAAGCGAGUCUGAAUAGGGCGUUUAGUAUUUGGUCGUAGACCCGAAACCAGGUGAUCUACCCUUGGUCAGGUUGAAGUUCAGGUAACACUGAAUGGAGGACCGAACCGACUUACGUUGAAAAGUGAGCGGAUGAACUGAGGGUAGCGGAGAAAUUCCAAUCGAACCUGGAGAUAGCUGGUUCUCUCCGAAAUAGCUUUAGGGCUAGCCUCAAGUGAUGAUUAUUGGAGGUAGAGCACUGUUUGGACGAGGGGCCCCUCUCGGGUUACCGAAUUCAGACAAACUCCGAAUGCCAAUUAAUUUAACUUGGGAGUCAGAACAUGGGUGAUAAGGUCCGUGUUCGAAAGGGAAACAGCCCAGACCACCAGCUAAGGUCCCAAAAUAUAUGUUAAGUGGAAAAGGAUGUGGCGUUGCCCAGACAACUAGGAUGUUGGCUUAGAAGCAGCCAUCAUUUAAAGAGUGCGUAAUAGCUCACUAGUCGAGUGACACUGCGCCGAAAAUGUACCGGGGCUAAACAUAUUACCGAAGCUGUGGAUUGUCCUUUGGACAAUGGUAGGAGAGCGUUCUAAGGGCGUUGAAGCAUGAUCGUAAGGACAUGUGGAGCGCUUAGAAGUGAGAAUGCCGGUGUGAGUAGCGAAAGACGGGUGAGAAUCCCGUCCACCGAUUGACUAAGGUUUCCAGAGGAAGGCUCGUCCGCUCUGGGUUAGUCGGGUCCUAAGCUGAGGCCGACAGGCGUAGGCGAUGGAUAACAGGUUGAUAUUCCUGUACCACCUAUAAUCGUUUUAAUCGAUGGGGGGACGCAGUAGGAUAGGCGAAGCGUGCGAUUGGAUUGCACGUCUAAGCAGUAAGGCUGAGUAUUAGGCAAAUCCGGUACUCGUUAAGGCUGAGCUGUGAUGGGGAGAAGACAUUGUGUCUUCGAGUCGUUGAUUUCACACUGCCGAGAAAAGCCUCUAGAUAGAAAAUAGGUGCCCGUACCGCAAACCGACACAGGUAGUCAAGAUGAGAAUUCUAAGGUGAGCGAGCGAACUCUCGUUAAGGAACUCGGCAAAAUGACCCCGUAACUUCGGGAGAAGGGGUGCUCUUUAGGGUUAACGCCCAGAAGAGCCGCAGUGAAUAGGCCCAAGCGACUGUUUAUCAAAAACACAGGUCUCUGCUAAACCGUAAGGUGAUGUAUAGGGGCUGACGCCUGCCCGGUGCUGGAAGGUUAAGAGGAGUGGUUAGCUUCUGCGAAGCUACGAAUCGAAGCCCCAGUAAACGGCGGCCGUAACUAUAACGGUCCUAAGGUAGCGAAAUUCCUUGUCGGGUAAGUUCCGACCCGCACGAAAGGCGUAACGAUUUGGGCACUGUCUCAACGAGAGACUCGGUGAAAUCAUAGUACCUGUGAAGAUGCAGGUUACCCGCGACAGGACGGAAAGACCCCGUGGAGCUUUACUGUAGCCUGAUAUUGAAAUUCGGCACAGCUUGUACAGGAUAGGUAGGAGCCUUUGAAACGUGAGCGCUAGCUUACGUGGAGGCGCUGGUGGGAUACUACCCUAGCUGUGUUGGCUUUCUAACCCGCACCACUUAUCGUGGUGGGAGACAGUGUCAGGCGGGCAGUUUGACUGGGGCGGUCGCCUCCUAAAAGGUAACGGAGGCGCUCAAAGGUUCCCUCAGAAUGGUUGGAAAUCAUUCAUAGAGUGUAAAGGCAUAAGGGAGCUUGACUGCGAGACCUACAAGUCGAGCAGGGUCGAAAGACGGACUUAGUGAUCCGGUGGUUCCGCAUGGAAGGGCCAUCGCUCAACGGAUAAAAGCUACCCCGGGGAUAACAGGCUUAUCUCCCCCAAGAGUUCACAUCGACGGGGAGGUUUGGCACCUCGAUGUCGGCUCAUCGCAUCCUGGGGCUGUAGUCGGUCCCAAGGGUUGGGCUGUUCGCCCAUUAAAGCGGUACGCGAGCUGGGUUCAGAACGUCGUGAGACAGUUCGGUCCCUAUCCGUCGUGGGCGUAGGAAAUUUGAGAGGAGCUGUCCUUAGUACGAGAGGACCGGGAUGGACAUACCUCUGGUGUACCAGUUGUCGUGCCAACGGCAUAGCUGGGUAGCUAUGUGUGGACGGGAUAAGUGCUGAAAGCAUCUAAGCAUGAAGCCCCCCUCAAGAUGAGAUUUCCCAACUUCGGUUAUAAGAUCCCUCAAAGAUGAUGAGGUUAAUAGGUUCGAGGUGGAAG